GGGAAAUCAGGUGGACUGGGUAAAACGGACUCGGGCUCAGUCUUCAGCCCCUUUUUUCAGAAACCCGUCGCUCUCCGGCCCCAUUCCCAAAUACCCACGUCCCAACACACCUUCCCCGCCGAGAUCCCGAGGCGACACUAGGUUCCCUCUUCCCCGGAGGGAAGCAGGUAGGAGGGCGGGACUAGGUGGGGAGCCGGCGGCCCCUGGCUCCCUCCACACCGGACUCUCCCGAGCUCCUCCCUGUCCCGGCGAGGGCGCCGGUCGGCGGGUGCUGCCCUUAAGGAGGAAGACGUCCGGCUGCAGAGCAGCGGAAAGAGGGUCUUUGCGGAAAGGGCGCCAGCCCCGGGCGGGGGCGAGCGGCAGACCUCGGGCUGGGAGGAAGGAGCUAGAGAUCUAGGAUUGGUUCUUCGGGCUCUAAUGUCACCAAGUCUGGGAGGGGAGACGGCCGCGGGGGAGGGUUCAGAGCUUGGCUCGGGUCCUGGCCGGUUCCCCCUGGACAGCCGGAGACUUGGGCCGGCCAGACGCCCCUCUGGCACGCUCCCGGGGCAGGCGCUCUCGCACGCCUCGAACGCACACUCCCCGUCCCUCCCUCGCGCACUCACCCGUCUCCCCAGCGCCUGCUCCCGCUUUCUCUCUCUCCCUUCCUAACACACCUCGCUCACUCCCACUCGGGCGGUCUCUUUCGCUCCCACCUGCUCCAAGUCUCGCUCUGCGCACCCCCGGUGGCGCGCCCAGCCCCUGGCGCUCUCGCCUGUCACUAUCGCAGCUUCGCAGCUUCGGCGGGCAGCGCCCCGACUCGCCCUGCUCCUUCUCGCAGAGGCGCGCCUGAUGCCCGGGACCCGCCGCUGAGCCCAGGAGACCAUGGUGGGAGCGCUUGCCCGCCGCGGUACCCACUGAGGCCAUGCCGGCGAGCCAGAGCCCGGCCGGCGCCGGCCAGCGCUUGCUUCUGCUCCUGCUACCGCUGCUGCUGCUGCUGCUGCUCCAGGGCAGCCACGCGGGCAACCUGACCGUGGCCGUGGUGUUGCCGCUGGCCAACACCUCGUACCCGUGGUCGUGGGCGCGCGUGGGGCCCGCGGUGGAGCUGGCUCUGACCCGGGUGAAAGCGCAGCCCGACUUGCUGCCAGGCUGGACAGUCCGCACGGUGCUAGGCAGCAGCGAGAAUGCGCUGGGAGCCUGCUCCGACACGGCUGCGCCCCUGGCCGCAGUGGACCUCAAGUGGGAGCACAACCCCGCCGUGUUCCUGGGCCCCGGCUGCGUGUACGCGGCCGCUCCGGUGGGGCGCUUCACCGCGCACUGGCGGGUGCCCCUGCUGACCGCUGGCGCUCCGGCGCUAGGCUUCGGGGCUAAAGACGAGUACGCGUUGACCACCCGCGCAGGACCCAGCCACGCCAAGCUGGGCGACUUCGUGGCGGCGCUGCAUCGACGGCUGGGCUGGGAGCGCCGGGCGCUGGUGCUCUACGCCUACCGGCCCGGCGACGACCAGCCCUGCUUCUUCGUGGUGGAGGGGCUGUACAUGCGGGUCCGCGACCGCCUCAACAUCACAGUGGACCACCUGGAGUUCGCCGAGGGCGACCACGACCACUACACCAAGCUGCUGCGGACCGUUGGGCGCAAAGGCCGAGGUGAGAGAGGCCCCCCACCCCCAUUUCUCCACCUCGUCCCGCCGCCUGUGACCUUUGACAGCGUGCAGGGCGCUGGCCUUCCUCUCCCUUCCGCUCUGGGCCAGUCUUUUCUCUUCUCGAGGCUCUUCAUUCCUGUCUCAGCCUCCCCCGCUCCCCAACUUCUGGGUUUCUACUUCCCUCUCUUUCCCUGCGCCCCCCUCCCCUUUCACGUUCCUACUCCAUCACCUCCCCCUAUUUCCCUGACUGCCCAGGGUUUACCCCAGGGGGAAAGUGCCUGCUCUCCUUCUACCUAGUAGGUCCUGUCCCCUUUUCCCCCCCGUCUUCCUCUCUUUCUUACUGCCUUCUCCCUCCUCCAUCCUUUCCUCCCAUGGCUCCCACACACCCUCUCACCCAUCCCUCUGCAGCCGGCCCCUCUCUGCCUCCUCCCCUCCUGCCCCACCUGCCCCCCGCCUCGGUUCUCCUUUCCCGCUCUGCCUACCUCUGCUCCUUCCUUCUCCGCCCUCCACACCUCCUCCUCCCACCCUUUUCCAACUUUCUCCUGCCACUGCCUAAACUGAGCCAGUGCCGUUUAACCGCCACCAGGUCCCCUCGUCCUCCCCGUGAGCCCCGGCUUCCCUGCCCUUUCCUUUCCCUGGCUGACUCCUCCUUUCCUUCCAGUCGUCUACAUCUGCAGCUCCCCAGAUGCCUUCAGGACCCUCAUGCUCCUGGCCCUGGACGCUGGCCUCAGUGGGGAAGACUAUGUUUUCUUCCACCUGGAUGUCUUCGGGCAAAGCCUACAAGGGGCACAGGGCCCUGCUCCCCGCAGGCCCUGUGAGAGAGGAGACGGGCGGGAUGUCAGUGCCCGCCUGGCCUUUCAGGUGAGUGCCAGGGUUUGCCCAUGCUGAGGGACUGAGCUGUUGACACUUGGUUUCUGGAUACUGUGUCCCUAAGUAUCUGAAAGGAGGGGGAAAAAAAAAAGGUGUUCUUGGUGCUCCUGAGGGACUUCAGAGCCAGAAGGCUAAAAAGAUAAGACAAUGGGGCUCGAAGAGGGAGUACAUUGAAGUUCCACACGCUGGGCGAAGACUCCAGUCCCUUGCUCAAGAGCAGGGACCACUUCUUGCAGGAAAUAGGGUAUAAUUUGACCUUGACCUUAGCAGAGAGGCUGGCCUGUGAGGUUGGCUCCCUGACAACUGGUGCCAAGGGUACUGGGAGAACAAGAAUCAGCUCCUAGCUCGCUCUCUGACCCCUUCCUCAGGCUGCCAAAAUCAUUACAUAUAAAGAACCGGAUACUCCUGAGUACUUGGAAUUCCUGAAGCAGCUCAAAGUCUUGGCCCGUGAGCAGUUCAACUUCACCAUGGAAGAUGGCCUGGUAGGAGGGGGUCCUGGAACCUUCUAGUGCGGACCUCCAGACUUUGCUUCAUGGCUCUCCUCCAGACUCUCCUCCAGAUGUGUGUUCUUUCACACAUCUCAGUGUUUCCGGGUCUCCCCUUCCCUCCCUUCCCAUUGACUCCUUAUCUCUCUGGAUGAUAGAGGUGACAGUGACAAGUUCAACCCCUAAACCUCAGGUCCUCAUCAGUAAAAUGGGGUUGACCAACCCUGUCCUGUCCGCCCAGUCCCAUACUGUGGGUGUAUUUUAUGUAUCCUGUCUGGGCUCCCAGUGCCUCCUGUCCUCUCGCCAUGGCACCCUGCGCUGUACCCCCCAUCCAUCCCCUUUUCCCCCAGCUGACUUCUCUCUGUCCCUGCAGGAGAACCUCAUCCCUGCAUCCUUCCAUGAUGGGCUUCUGCUCUAUGUCCAGGCAGUGACAGAGACGCUAGCACACGGGGGAACUGUCGCCAAUGGGGAGACCAUCACUCAGAGGAUGUGGAACCGAAGCUUCCCAGGUCAGGGCCUGGGAGUGACUGGAAAGGGCUUUUUAGGGAAGGGGGGGUGAGUACCAUGUGCCCCAGCCUGUAGCCCUGCAACUCAGGUAGCCAUUUGCCCAUUACCAGUCUUUCCCUUUCUUUUAUAAGAACCUCCACAGCUUCUUUCAGGCUCUCCUUCCCUCGUCCCCCAGAUCCAUCCAGUCCUCCCACGUGUCCCAUCUCAGUCCUUCCUGCUGCCAACGCAGCUGUCCUGUUGGCUCUUCUUCUGUGCCUACGUGUGUUUGAAGAUCAGGAGAUGGAGACAUGGAAGUGGGACCUCCCUGCACGGGAAUUUUCUCACAACACAGCUAUGUUGCCCCGGCCCACAGGUGUGACAGGAUACCUGAAAAUUGAUAGCAAUGGAGAUCGUGAGACUGACUUCUCCCUCUGGGAUAUGGACCCUGAGACCGGUGCCUUCAGGGUACGUGUGCACACUCAGAAGACCACCGUGUGUCUCCUCAGGAUGACAUCUCACCCUCCUGCCCUCCCCCACAGCCCUGCCAGGGCAUCUGUUUAUUCUGUGAUCACCCUACCCUGCCUGGACAUCUAUGAAAGCCCUGGACAAAACAGACCCCGUUCCAUUCUGGGGGAGCAACCAGAAUGAUAGGGAUUCGCAUGGGGAACCCCGUGUCUAAGGAGGGAGCACAGCCCUUUCCUUGGGGAGUUCUUAAGGAAAGCAAGACUCCUCGCAGCAGUCAGGUAGACUCUGAGCCAACAGGAAUGCAUACGCACAGCUCACAGCUCGGUAAACACAGUAGAUACUGGCAGGGAUUGAGGCCAGAGGCACCAAGGAUCAAAUCCAGGAAGGCUUCCUGGAAGAAAACUGCACUGAUGAGGCUUGGGAAUGUGGGUUGAGAUGGAUGCUACCUUUCCCUGUUUCUGUGCUUUAAUCGAGGCUAUAAAGUCCUUGCGUGUAGGCGUGGGGUUCUAUAUGCAGCUUUCUUUAUAAAGCCCUUGAGUCAUUUUCAAAUGUUUGCCCCUUAAUUCCAUGGGAACAAGUAUGAGGUCUCCCUGUAGGCGGUCACAGCAGGGGCUUGGUGACCCAGAUACAGGCCCUGGAAGUAUUGAUGAGGAGGUGGGAAGCAGGACUGUGUCACUGGACAGGAGGCCACAUGCCAGGCCCUUGACCAUUCCUGCUCUCCCUUAGGUUGUACUGAACUACAAUGGGACUUCCCAAGAGCUGGUGGCUGUGUCAGGGUGCGAACUAUACUGGCCCCUGGGGUAUCCUCCUCCUGACAUCCCUAAAUGUGGCUUUGACAACGAGGACCCAUCCUGCAACCAAGGUGACUGGCCCUUGCUCUUCGGGCUGCUGUUCUGGAGACACUGCCUCCUCCCAAGGGGAAUCAAGUGGGUGCUCCUCUCCUACCCUUUUCUGGAUUCAGAGCCUCCUCCUGCCUUUUGCUUCCCUUCAUCCACCGCUGUUGACCAUGAUGAAGGGAAGGCCCUUCCUCCUCUGUAGAGCCCAGAUCACUUGCCACACUUGACUCUCUCCUGCAGACCACUUGUCCACCCUGGAGCUCCUGGCCUUGGUAGGCAGCCUCGCCCUGCUUAGCAUCCUGAUCGUCUCCUUCUUUGUAUACAGGUGAGCCGAGCCCAGCCGUGGCCCGGGGGUGGGGGUGGGGUGGGGGGGGUGCGGUGACAUGGGGAGACUUGGAGAGGGAGGUGUAGGGACAAGGGGGGAGGGGAGGGGUGAAGGGACAGCGGGGGAAGGCAGAAGGAGAGAGGGAGAAAAGAAACGAAAAGCCUUAAAACGCCACAGUGCAGUGGCCAUAACUAUAAUCCCGGGGACUCUGGAAACUGAAGCAGGAGGAUCACAAGUUUGAGGUCAGCCCAACAAUUUAGGGAGACCCUGUGCCAAAAUUUAGGGGGAAAAAAGCUGGGCUCAGUGGCACAUGCCUGUAAUCCCAGCAACUUGGGAGGCUGAGGAAGGAGGAUGGCAAGUUCAAAGCCAGCCUCGGCAGCUUAGCAAGGCCUUGUCUCAAAAUAAAAAAAUAAAAAGGGAUGGGGAUGUGGCUCAGUGGUUAAGUGCCCCAGGGUUCAAUUUCUGGUACCAUAAUAACAAUAAUAAUAGUUAAUUUUUUUUAAAGAUUAGGAAUGUAGUUCAGUGGUAGAGCAUCUACCUAGCUUGUGAGAGAGCCUAUGUUUAAUCCUCAGUAUCACAAUAAAUAAUAAAUAGCCUUAGGACACAGAGAAGAAAACAGAGAAUGGAGUGAGAGGAAAGAGGGGACAGGGAUAGAAGUGGCCAGAGAAGAUCAAGGAGAUGCAAGAAGGAGCAGAUAGAUUGAGAAGUGAUGUCAUACCAGAGUGGCUCCUGGCAUGGAACUGGUUUUCCUUGCUCUGGGGACUGGGCCCUGUUAAGGAGCCCUGCUGUGACCAGUGGUGGACCUCGAGUGGAUAAGAGAGAUGAAUGAGCCCCACUCCUGCCUUCCAGUGAGGCUGAAAUGGAAAUCCAGGACACAGGAGAGAAGGGAGGGAGGACAAUCAAUGCUGAUUGAACCUAGUAGACCACGUGUCAGGCACUUCCACACACAAUGUUUCUUUUUAUUCUUGUAACAGUUAAGAAUGAAGCCAGGUGUGGGGGUGCAUGCCUGUAAUCCCAGCAACUCAGAAGGCUCAGACAGGAGGACUGCAAAUUUUAGGCCAACCUGGGGCCAUGUAUUGAGUGAGACCCUGUCUCAAGAUAAAAAAUGAAAAGGGAUCGGGAUGUGGCUCAGUGGUAGAGCAUCCCUGGGUUUAAUACCGUGUGUGUAAAAGGACAUUGACUGUGACUACCCCAAUGUCCCCAGUUGAGGUAGAAUGUCACCAGGCUCUGACCCUCAGCCUGGGAGAUAGAAUUCCCUCAUUCACCUCUUAAUACUUGAAGUAGUCUCGGGGCUCUGAGGAGGGACUCCUGACCACUCCCGACCAGGUCGGGGGAUCAUACAUGAGCUCAGGUGUAGGUUUCACGCCCCAGGAAGAUGCAGCUGGAGAAGGAGCUGGCCUCCGAGCUGUGGCGAGUGCGCUGGGAGGACCUGCAGCCCAGCAGCCUGGAGAGGCACCUCCGAAGCGCGGGCAGCCGGCUGACCUUGAGCGGGGUGAGAAUGCUGGUGUCUGAGGGGGCUGGGGGGUGUCACUGGUGUUCGCGAGGGGGCCCUGGGUACCCAGAGCAGUAGGGUAGAAAACAGGGCUCCACGCCCACCUCUGCCUUCCUUUGCUUCAUGACCUUGAGCAAGGCCAUUGCCUCUCUGAACUGGGCUCAUGGUGAUUGCAUCUCUAGAGCCUCCCUCCAGGGGCUCUUGGAAAGAUCAAAGGAGGCAGUAUAUGGGACAACACAAACAUAAAACCAGUAAGCGAGGGGAGGUUUCAUGAUGUGGAACAUCAAGGAGGGUGACACAAAGCUAAGGAAGGGUAGGAAAGACCAGAGCACAAGCACCCAGGGGCAUCCGGGCCUCUAGGCUGAACCCCUGUUCUUCACCCCUUCAGAGAGGCUCCAAUUACGGCUCCCUGCUAACCACAGAGGGCCAGUUCCAGGUGUUUGCCAAGACAGCGUACUACAAGGUGGGCCUGGGGAGACUUCUGGUCCUGGGUACUGUGGAAGUGUGCUCUGUGGCAGAGGGUGCCAGGGUGGGCUGUCAAGGGGCAGUUGGAGAUCCUCAGGGGAGUGGGGUGCCAUUGGGAGCAGCUGGGGGUCUUGGAGGGCGGCGUGAGCUGUCGGGAGCAGGUGGAGGUGCCAGGGCACCAGGUCAUGCUCCACACAGUGACAGUCUCCAUUCCUUUCUCAGGGCAACCUGGUGGCUGUGAAACAUGUGAAUCGUAAACGCAUUGAGCUGACAAGAAACGUCCUGUUUGAACUGAAGCAUGUAAUGUGGGGGUGUGAGGCGGUGGCCUGGGGAAGAGUCCCCUGCCGGGAGAUGGCCAACUGAGCUGUCUGUGGAGGUUUUGGUUUUCAGAGUGUCCUAGGAAAGCUAGGGUCUGUGAACCUGGGAUGGGCCCUUGCAUCCUGGGGAUGGGAUUAGGGGACCCAUCAUGAGAAGAGAGAUGAGAUCUCUGGAGAUACCCUGGAGGAAGACCCUUGAGGGACCUUACAUGGUGACCUGGGGAAUAAAAGGCAAGGAGGCAGAGGGUGUAGGAAGCAGAUUGUGGGGGAGAAGGGCCCAGUGGACAGGUUUGCAAACAAUGAAUAGGGAGUUAAGGGGGAGGGUCCCUGAGGCCAGAGAGCAAUCUGGUGAGGAGUGAGGUCUCUGUGAUGCUCCUGAUGCUGCUUCUCACCUGCAGAUGCGGGAUGUACAGAAUGAACACCUGACCAGGUUUGUGGGUGCCUGCACUGACC
rnacentral:lncRNA from 1 species